rnacentral:misc_RNA from 1 species
GUCUUUGAUACCGCCCAGGCUGUUUUCCAGUUUCUCAAGCUCACGAGUACGCAUCAGCGCUUCUUUCUUGGUCAGCUUUUCGAAAGUACCGUCCUGAGACUGAGUUUCCAGGUCUUUCAGACGUUUGAUGGACUGACGAACUGUUUUCCAGUUAGUCAGCAUACCGCCCAGCCAGCGAUGGUUCACGAAGAACUGGUCGCAGCUGUUAGCAGCUUCUUUCACCGCUUCGCUUGCAGCGCGUUUAGUACCAACGAAAAGGAUUUUACCUUUACGAGCAGAGAUCUUGUUCAGUUCAGCCAGAGCUUCGUUGAACAUCGGUACAGUU